GACGAACGCUGGCGGCGUGCUUAACACAUGCCAGUCGAACGGAAAGGCCCUGCUUUUGUGGGGUGCUCGAGUGGCGAACGGGUGAGUAACACGUGAGUAACCUGCCCUUGACUUUGGGAUAACUUCAGGAAACUGGGGCUAAUACCGGAUAGGAGCUCCUGCUGCAUGGUGGGGGUUGGAAAGUUUCGGCGGUUGGGGAUGGACUCGCGGCUUAUCAGCUUGUUGGUGGGGUAGUGGCUUACCAAGGCUUUGACGGGUAGCCGGCCUGGGAGGGUGACCGGCCACAUUGGGAAUGAGAUACGGCCCAGACUCCUACGGGAGGCAGCAGUGGGGAAUAUUGCACAAUGGGCGGAAGCCUGAUGCAGCAACGCCGCGUGCGGGAUGACGGCCUUCGGGUUGUAAACCGCCUUCGCCUGUGACGAAGCGUGAGUGACGGUAAUGGGUAAAGAAGCACCGGCUAACUACGUG
rnacentral:rRNA from 1 species